rnacentral:rRNA from 1 species
AGCGAACGUUAGCGGCGGGCCUAACACAUGCAAGUCGAGCGAGAAAGGGGGUUCGCCCCCGAGUACAGCGGCGGACGGGUGAGUAACACGUAGGUAAUUUUCCCUUGAGCGGGGGACAACGUUCCGAAAGGGACGCUAAUACCGCAUAAGUUCUUGGGUGCUUCGGCACUGGAGAGGAAAGCUAGGCCGCAAGGUCUGGCACUCGAGGAGAAGCCUGCGUCGCAUCAGCUAGUUGGUGGGGUAAUGGCCUACCAAGGCAAAGACGCGUAGCUGGUCUGAGAGGAUGAUCAGCCACACUGGGACUGAGACACGGCCCAGACUCCUACGGGAGGCAGCAGUGGGGAAUAUUGGACAAUGGGCGCAAGCCUGAUCCAGCCACGCCGCGUGAGUGAUGAAGGCCUUCGGGUCGUAAAGCUCUGUGGGGAGGGACGGAACCGACUGCACGUCCAUAGCGUGCAGCAUGACGGUACCUCCUUAGCAAGCACCGGCUAACUUCGUGCC